rnacentral:rRNA from 1 species
AUACGGAGGGUGCAAGCGUUAUUCGGAAUCACUGGGCGUAAAGGACGCGUAGGCGGGUUGGCAAGUCAGAUGUGAAAUCCUACAGCUUAACUGUAGAACUGCAUUUGGAACUGCUAACCUAGAGUAUGGGAGGGGGAGAUGGAAUUAGUGGUGUAGGGGUAAAAUCCGUAGAUAUCACUAGGAAUACCGAAAGCGAAGGCGAUCUCCUGGAACAUAACUGACGCUAAGGCGUGAAAGCGUGGGGAGCAAACAGGAUUAGAAACCCUAGUAGUCC